rnacentral:tRNA from 1 species
GGGAAAGUGGCUCAGUGGUAGAGCACUUGCCUUGUAUGCAUGAGGCCCUGCCUAGGUUCGAUUCCUCAGUACCA